rnacentral:rRNA from 1 species
AAUUGCUGGGCGCAGCCUGAUCAGCCAUGCCGCGUGAGUGAUGAAGGCCUUAGGGUUGUAAAGCUCUUUCGCCAGGGACGAUAAUGACGGUACCUGGAUAAGAAGCCCCGGCUAACUUCGUGCCAGCAGCCGCGGUAAUGAUCGUC